rnacentral:lncRNA from 1 species
GUGGUAGCAUGCUUGCCUAGCACAUGCAAAGCCCUGGGUUCCAAACCUAGUUGUGCAAAAAAAAAAAAGAAAAAGAAAAAGAAAUGGUGAAUCCUGUUGUGGACAUGCUGAGUUUGAGACGGGUUGGUGGCCCCACAUGAAGAGCAGUUGGAUGUUUGAACUCAGGAGCUCAGGAGCAGGCUGUGAGUUGCAGACUCAGACCUGAAGAUCAGCACCAUGUGGAGGAGGAGAAACCACAGGAAGGGCUUCAGCAGAACAGGAGCAGGGGCAGAGUCCACGAAGGAACUCUGAAGAGCAUCCACACUGAAGGGAUGAGAAAGGUAAAGCAGACAGGGAAACAGAGGCCGGGGGACCCAAGCUGUGUCAUGAAGCCAGGAAACUUUCAAAAUGGCUGGAAUGAAGAAAACAAAGGAUUUGCUGGGAUUGACGGGGAGGUCAAGUUGGAUAACUAGAGAUGCACCUCAACACAGGGUGGAGUUCCUCCCCAACAAGCCCAUCAUACGUUUACGAUGUUGAAGGUCAAGAAGGCAUUUAACGCUGGUGGUCUCCCUCUGCUAUGGUGGCUGCCUGGGAGGUGUGGCCUCCUGCCACUGCCCAGCAUCUCAGGAGAGUAUUGGACUUCAUGUAGCUAGGCUGGGAAAAGAUCAAAAUGCAAAAGGCAAACUAUGGUUUUUACUAAAUGUCGAUUACUUUGCACCAUCGUAAAGUCAAAAACUUGUAA